GGUUGUAAGCUCUUUUAUCCGGAACGAUAAUGACGGUACCGGAGGAAUAAGCCCCGGCUAACUUCGUGCCAGCAGCCGCGGUAAUACGAAGGGGGCUAGCGUUGCUCGGAAUCACUGGGCGUAAAGGGCGCGUAGGCGGCGUUUUAAGUCGGGGGUGAAAGCCUGUGGCUCAACCACAGAAUGGCCUUCGAUACUGGGACGCUUGAGUAUGGUAGAGGUUGGUGGAACUGCGAGUGUAGAGGUGAAAUUCGUAGAUAUUCGCAAGAACACCGGUGGCGAAGGCGGCCAACUGGACCAUUACUGACGCUGAGGCGCGAAAGCGUGGGGAGCAAACAAGAUUAGAUACCCUGGUAGUCC
rnacentral:rRNA from 1 species